GAUGAACGCUGGCGGCGUGCUUAACACAUGCAAGUCGAACGAAGCACUUUAUUCGAUUUUCUUCGGAGAUGAAGAUUUAGUGACUGAGUGGCGGACGGGUGAGUAACGCGUGGAUAACCUGCCUCUCACUGGGGGAUAACAGUUAGAAAUGACUGCUAAUACCGCAUACGCGCACAGUAUCGAAUGGUACGGUGUGAUAAACUCCGGUGGUGUGAGAUGGAUCCGCGUUUGAUUAGCCAGUUGGCGGGGUAACGGCCCACCAAAGCGACGAUCAAUAGCCGACCUGAGAGGGUGACCGGCAACAUUGGGACUGAGACACGGCCCAAAAUCCUACGGGAGGCAGCAGUGGGGAAUAUUGCGCAAUGGGGGAAACCCUGACGCAGCGACGCCGCGUGAGCGAUGUAGUAUUUCGGUAUGUAAAGCUCUAUCAGCAGGGAAUAAUAAAUGACGGUACCUGACUAAGAAGCCCCGGCUAACUACGUGCCAGCCGCCGCCGUAA
rnacentral:rRNA from 1 species